rnacentral:rRNA from 1 species
UACGGGGGGGGCAAGCGUUGUUCGGAAUUACUGGGCGUAAAGGGCUCGUAGGUGGCCAACUAAGUCGGACGUGAAAUCCCUCGGCUUAACCGGGGAACUGCAUCCGAUACUGGAUGGCUUGAGUUCGGGAGAGGGAUGCGGAAUUCCAGGUGUAGCGGUGAAAUGCGUAGAUAUCAGGAGGAACACCGGUGGUGUAGACGGCUUACUAGACCAUGACUGACGCUGAGGCACGAAAGCGUGGGUAGCAAACAGG